AUUGAACUACCCUUUUUGGAGAGUUUGAUCCUGGCUCAGGACGAACGCUGGCGGCGUGCCUAAUACA
rnacentral:rRNA from 1 species